AAAGCGGAACCCGAAAAGCUAACGAGUAGGGA
rnacentral:ncRNA from 1 species